UACGUAGGCAGCAAGCGUUGUUCGGAGUUACUGGGCGUAAAGGGUGCGUAGGCGGUUGUUUAAGUUUGGUGUGAAAUCUCCCGGCUCAACUGGGAGGGUGCGCCGAAUACUGAAUGACUCGAGUGCGGGAGAGGAGAGUGGAAUUCCUGGUGUAGCGGUGAAAUGCGUAGAUAUCAGGAGGAACACCGGUGGUGUAGACGGCUCUCUGGACCGUAACUGACGCUGAGGCACGAAAGCCAGGGGAGCGAACGGG
rnacentral:rRNA from 1 species